UGGGGUCACGUGACAGGGGACAAACGUCAUUAAUGUUGUUGGUGGAGGAGCUGAAAAUAUGGAGGAAAGAGAGUUGUAACAGGGAAAAUUAGACAUUUCACCCCCAAAAAAAUAUUAUUAAACCGAUCAAGAAGUGUAACGGUCGAAGAGGCAAUAUCCAAGCAGUGAAAAAGAGAACGACAAUCAGGGGGAUUGACUCGAAGAAGGGGAGGAGCCUACUGAUCCACCAUACCUCUGGACCAAAGUCAUGGCUGACUCCGAAGACCCACUUUAGAACCUUCAGUCCCUUCCCAAACACAAGCAAAUACACACUUGCCUAAGGCUUUAUCAUCCUAAUUCUUAUUACCUUCAACUUGACUGAGUUUUGGAACAACAAAGAUCACUAACACAAUCAUCUCUGGCUUCUCCGUUCAUCAUUUCUGCCAACACCACAGAACCGCUGACGACUGACCAGACCUUUAGUAACCUCCCAUCCCCCUAAUGACGUCUUUGAAUGUCACUGGGUGCCGUGGCAACCCUGACUGCUCUGUGAAAGGCCUGGAGGGUUGUCUGCUCAUUGGACAGUACACUAGAGCGAACAUGACUGAUGUUUAUUUUUUUUGUGCAAUUAAUGAGUCGUGUAAGUAGCUUAUGUGUGUAGCUAGUAUCUUCGGAGAUAUAUAGUGUGCGUGUUGUGUGUCUUUCUUUUUAAUAGCAUUUGAAGCAGUAGGCCAGGAAAGUCUUCCGAUCUGUAUUUUGUUUAUCGUUCAUUACAAUAAGUAGCCUAUAGUAAAAAAAUAUGAAGUUUGAAAUGAAAUACCUUUUUUCUAAUACAGUGCCUUCAAAGUAUUCAUA